rnacentral:pre_miRNA from 1 species
UAUUAAUAAUUUUAUCAAUGCGUACAAUUAAAAAUUAGUGUGAUUGACGGAAUAACUAGACAACGAUAUGUGUGUUGAUGUACAUGGAUCAAGUUUUAACCGUAGAAAUGGAUGAAAUUUUUAACA